CAGUAGCCGCGGGAAUACGUAGGGUGCAAGCGUUAAUCGGAAUUACUGGGCGUAAAGCGUGCGCAGGCGGUUUGUUAAGACAGAUGUGAAAUCCCCGGGCUUAACCUGGGAACUGCAUUUGUGACUGGCAAGCUAGAGUAUGGCAGAGGGGGGUGGAAUUCCGCGUGUAGCAGUGAAAUGCGUAGAUAUGCGGAGGAACACCGAUGGCGAAGGCAGCCCCCUGGGCCAAUACUGACGCUCAUGCACGAAAGCGUGGGGAGCAAACAGGAUUAGAUACCCCGGUAGUCCCUGUCUCUUAUAC
rnacentral:rRNA from 1 species